UACGUAGGGACCGAGCGUUGUCCGGAAUCAUUGGGCGUAAAGAGCGUGUAGGCGGCUGACCAAGUCCUGCGUGAAAUCUUGCGGCUCAACCGCAAGCGGUCGUGGGAAACUGGUCGGCUAGAGUGCGGGAGAGGAGAGUGGAAUUCCUGGUGGAGUGGUGAAAUGCGUAGAGAUCAGGAAGAACACCCGUGGCGAAGGCGGCCCACUGGGCCGGUACUGACGCUGAGGCGCGAAGGCGUGGGGAGCGAACGGG
rnacentral:rRNA from 1 species